rnacentral:misc_RNA from 1 species
GAUGAAGAACGCAGUGAAAUGCGAUAAGUAAUGUGAAUUGCAGAAUCUCGUGAAUCAUCGAAUCUUUGAACGCACAUUGCGCCCUAUGGUAUUCCGUAGGGCAUGCCUGUCUGAGCGUCAACUCCCACCCUCUCAAGUCUUCUUUUUUGUUAAGGAGAUUUGGAUUACUUUGAGGAAGUAUCGUUUUUUUUUUUAUAAUGCUACUCCUCAGAAAUUCAUAGGCAGUAUGGUCAAACCUGAACCAGGCGUAAUAAUUCUAUAAAAAUCGUCUAUGAAGGAAUGUCUGUAUUAGCCUUUAACCCCCCCUAAUUUAUUUUACUUGGGUGACCUCAGAUCAGGUAGGGAUACCCGCUGAACUUAAGCAUAUCAAUAAGCGGAGGA